CCUACGGGUGGCUGCAGUGGGGAAUAUUGGACAAUGGGCGGAACCCUGAACCAGCGACGCCGCGUGAGUGAAGAAGUAUCUCGGUAUGUAAAGCUCUAUCAGCAGGGAAGCAAAUGACGGUACCUGAGUAAGAAGCCCCGGAUAACUACGUGCCAGCAGCCGCGGUAAUACGUAGGGGGCAAGCGUUAUCCGGAUUUACUGGGUGUAAAGGGAGCGUAGACGGUGCAGCAAGUCUGAUGUGAAAGGUCGGGGCCCAACCCCGGGACUGCAUUGGAAACUGUAGAACUGGAGUGCAGGAGAGGUAAGCGGAAUGCCUAGUGUAGCGGUGAAAUGCGUAGAUAUUAGGAGGAACACCAGUGGCGAAGGCGGCUUACUGGACUGUAACUGACGUUGAGGCUCGAAAGCGUGGGGAGCAAACAGGAUUAGAUACCCUAGUAGUC
rnacentral:rRNA from 1 species